rnacentral:rRNA from 1 species
AUGAAUUGCUUAAGUUGGAACUGUCGAGGGGCGGGGAACCCUCGAACAGUUCGCGAUCUUGCGGCUCUUGUGGCCGCCCAUUCUCCGAAGCUUUUUUUAUGUGAAACUAGACAACCUAGAGAUAAAAUGUUUCGUCUUCGUUCUCGUUUAGGUCUUUCGGGUUUUGAAGGAGUCAGUAGUGAAGGCAUGAGUGGAGGUCUUGCUUUAUUUUGGGAUGAGUCUGUAUCAGUUCAAGUCCAAGAAGUCAAUAAAAGAUGGAUUGAUGUGUAUGUCCGUGUGUCAAAUAAUGACCCACAAUGGAGGGUUACCUUUGUUUAUGGUGAACCUAGGGUUGAGAACAGGCAUCUCAUGUGGGACUCUUUGCGUCGCCUCCAUGGAAACAGUGAUCUUCCGUGGACGAUUGUCGGAGAUUUCAACGAAGCAAUGUGGGACUACGAGCAUUUAUCAGAAACCCCGAGAGCCCCAGGACAAAUGCUUAUUUUCAGAGAUGCUCUUGAAACUUGUGGCCUCAUUGAUUUGGGUUCUGCAGGGUACCCCCUUCACAUAUGA